UGGGCAACCUGCCCCUCUCUCUGGGAUAACCCCGGGAAACCGGAGCUAAUACCGGAUACUCCGGCUGGAUCGCAUAGUCCGGCCGGGAAAGGUCCGCCGGAGAGGGAUGGGCCCGCGGCCUAUCAGCUUGUUGGUGGGGUAGCGGCCUACCAAGGCGACGGCGGGUAGCUGGCCUGAGAGGACGACCAGCCACACUGGAACUGAGACACGGCCCAGACUCCUACGGGAGGCA
rnacentral:rRNA from 1 species